GUAAUUUUUUUUCAACAUUUUUUUCGUCUUAAAAAAAGUAAACUCAACAAAAAUCCUUUUAUUUUAGCGAAUAGAAUAAUUUUGGGGACCACUUUGUAAAUUUACCUGCCUUUUUUUUAUGACAAUUAUCCUACAAAAAAUAAUUUUACUCAAUUUGUCAUUUUAAGGUUGGUAAUCAUGGCGAAAUAUGUUUGUCAAAAGAUAUUUUAAUAUUUAAUGUUUAUUUCUGAAUCUAAAACAACUCAAAAAUGUUGAUCGUAUCUCAAUUUAAGAUAUUUAAGGGUGUUUGAAGAUAAAUAAUAUAAGAUAACAAUAAUAAUUAAUUAAUAAGCUGUGUUUAAUUAAAUCACUUAAAAUGUCAGAUUCUUAAUCUUAUUCCACUUAGCACAUAUCUGUUUAGAAAAUCAAAUGUAUCAUAUAUAAACAGUGAGAAACCAAAUAUACUAUGAUUGUGUUGCUUGAGGAAGUCAAGAUGGGUUUUAAAGUUGUUGUUGUUCUUGCAGUUUUAGCCCUUAUAAGUGGAGCUGAGUUAAUAUUGGAUGAAGGUGAAACGCAUGGAGUUGGAAUAUUAAACAACACUUCUGGGUUAUUAAAAGAGACUUGGAUAGUGCGUCAUAAUAUGGAUGAUGAAAUGAUAAAUAAUGUUCUAACUACAAUAGAACGCGCCCUUCAGAUGGAUUUACCACGAAUUAUAUUUAUACGAACUACUUUGGCUGAAUUAUAUCCGGAUAUUCGUUUUAAUAUUUUUGAAAACUACACUGCCUAUUCUGUAUAUAUUUCUCUUAAUGCUGAAAUUGAAGGAUACGAUCGCGACGGAAAGCGCACUUGGUACAAAAUCUUUACAUCUUUUUCAUAAUGAUUAAUAUCUUAAUGCUUUUAUGUCACUUUGUUAUAUUUUGAAGGAAUUGUUUUACAAUUAAUAAAUAAAUUAAAGUUGUGUCUUGACCAACUUAAAAGGCAUUUCAAGGAGACAAAAAUUUUUAGAUGUCACCUUGAACUCACCUUCAAUGACCUCUAAUUCACCUUCAAUAAGAUAAAUUGGAAAAUGUUGGUCGAACAUGUUAGGAUGUCUCCUGCAAUGACCUCUAAUUAACAUUGACCCACUUAAAAAUAUAAAAAUAAAAAGAAAUUUAAACUUUCAAGUCGCCACUUUAAAUUAAAAACGGUUUAAUAAUAUUAAUAAUAAAACGGUUCUUUAUUAAUUAUAACAUGUCUUUCAAAAAAUAACAAAGUAACUUAAAAAUAUUAAUCAUUUAUAAAAAUUGUGUUGAUUCACUUCCUAUUUGAUGAACGAGAAACUCAACUUCUAAAUGUGAAUUUCUAAAGAAAAUGGUUCUCCAAGUAAUCUCUCUCUAAUCUUUUAAAUCGUAUCGUCAAGAUAAUAAUUCCAUUUCUACGUUUUAUUUUGUGACUUCGAUUACUUAUAGUUUGUAUAGUUUUAAGAAACAAUUAAAUGGUGAUUGAAGACGUAAUUUAAAGAUAUGAUAGUUUUAAAUUUCCCGUUUGAUUUACGAGCCAUAAUGUCGUCAAACCGCGGUACUUUGUAAAUCUAGGGACUUUAGGGGCAAUUUGAAAUGAGAGUCCUCUAUGAUUGACUGAAUCCACUAAAUAAGUAGAUUCCUUUUUUUUAAUUACCGACAUAAAACAAUAUAACCUACAAAAUAAAAACUAAUAUAAAUGUUAUUCAAACUAAAAGGAAUCAAAUUCUUGGGGAAAUAAUAACCAGUUUUAUUUUAAUUAUUAAAUACAAACAUUUUCUUUAUAAGGAUAAAGAUGAUGCUACUCUUUUUGAUAAUACUAUUUUGAUACGUAAUUUUGAGACAAAUGAGUUGAUUUAAAGCUCAAAUAUGACUUUAUUGUAAAGGUAAGGUUACUAAUUAACCUUCAAUCUUUUGAAUCGUAUCAUUAAGAUAAUAAUUCCACCUCUACCUUUUAUUUUGCGACUCCAAUAACAUUUAGUUCGCAGAAUUUUAAGGAACAAUUAAAUUAAAGUUUUAUUUUCAGAACAAUAAACAAAUAUAUUUCAGAUGAGAGUCAUCUAUGAUUGAAUGAAUUAACUAGAAAAGUAGAUUCCUUUUUUUUGAAUUACCGACAUAAUUCAACAUAACCUGCAAAAUAAAUACUUUAUAAUAUAAACGUUAUUUCGAGUAAAAUGAAACAAAUACUUGGGGAAAUAAUAAAUAAGUUUAGUUUAAUUAUGAAAUACAAAUAUUUUCAAUACAAGGAUUAAGGAGAAUGCUGCUUUUUCUAAUGAUACCAUCGUAGUUUGGCCUUAUUUUUGAGACAAAUGAGUUGAUUUAAAACUCAAAUAUAAUUUCAUUGUAAAGGAGCUGUGAAUGGAUAAAAACGCUGCUACUUUUUCUGACGAUACCACCGUAAUUUGGCCUUAUUUUGAGACAAAUGAGUUGAUUUAAAGCUCAAAUGUGACUUUAUUAUAAAGUGGUAUCAAGAAGCAAUCACCGCUUAUAAUGAACGAGAAGAUCAUAAUCUAUGUUUAUUCCUGAAUUCAAAACUACUCAAAAAUGUUGAUUGUAUCUCAAUUUAAGACAUUUAAGAACAAUUAAAAAUAAAUAAUAGAAGAUAAUAAACAAUUUAAGCUGUCUUAAAUCCACUAAAAGUGAUUGAAUGUGAGAUUCUUAAUCUUAUCCCACUUAGAACAUAUCUGUUUAGAAAAUCAGUUAGAUGUAUCAUAUAUAAACGGCGAGAAACCAAAUAUACUAUGAUUGUGUUGCUUGAAGAGACUCAAGAUGGGUUUUAAAGUUGUUGUCAUCCUUGUAGUUUUAGCCCUUAUUAAUGGCUGCAUUGGUGCUGCAAUAUUGAAUGAAGCUGAAACAGAUGAUGUUGAAAUAUUACCCCCCAACAAUUCUGAGUUAUUAAGACAGCCUUGGGUAAGGUAUCAUAAUAUGGAUGAUGAAAUGAUAAGACUUGUUCUAUCUACAGUAGAAAUCGCCCUUGCAGUUGAUACACACCGACCUUCAUUUAUAAACAAUAUUUUGCGUUCGUUAUAUCCAAAUAUUCGUUUUAAUAUUUUUGAAAACUACACACGCUAUUCUGUAUAUCGUUCUCUUCAUGCUUCAAUUGAAGGAUACGAUCGCGACGGAGUACGAUUUAGGUACAAAAUCUAUACACCAUAACUUUUUUAAAAAUGAUUAAUAUUAAUUUACUUUGUUAUAUUUUGACAAAAUUGUUAUA
rnacentral:lncRNA from 1 species